UACAGAGGGUGCGAGCGUUAAUCGGAAUUACUGGGCGUAAAGCGCGCGUAGGCGGCUUUGCAAGUCGGGUGUGAAAUCCCCAGGCUUAACCUGGGAACUGCAUUCGAGACUGCAUUGCUAGAGUAUGGGAGAGGAAGUGGAAUUCCGGUGUAGCGGUGAAAUGCGUAGAUAUCGGAAGGAACAUCAGUGGCGAAAGCGACUUCCUGGACCAAUACUGACGCUCAUGUGCGAAGCGUGGGAGCAAACGGG
rnacentral:rRNA from 1 species